rnacentral:lncRNA from 1 species
CAAGCCCAGUGUGUGGCGGACAAGGCCCUGGACAAAGGGCUGUGUUCAUCGCCCCUCUUCCCAGCCUCAGGUCUGCAUGGCUCUCUCCCCAGCACGUGAUCUGUGACAAUGGGGGCAGGCACUUUGGGACCAUGACAAGAGGCAGGCGGGGCACAGUGUUUGCCAUCCUUCCAAGGAACGUGAGGCAGGAGGAACUGGAGUGGAGGGAGACCCAUCUGUAUGUGCAAUGUCCUGGUAUUUCAUCACAGUGAUGGAAAAUGGACUAACACAGAACCGCAGCACCCGCAGGGCCUGGGUGGCCCCCGGAGGGACCAGGCCUGGGUUUUGAGGAAGAAGAGGCUUCAGAGAGAGAGAGCCCUAUGCACCCAAGAUCUCCAUUAAGUGACAUCCCUGGCCAGGAUGUCCUUGGGGACAGGAUUAGUGUCUUUAGGGCAGGGGAGCUGCAGGGACCUGGAGUCUGCUCAAAGGAGUCUGCAGCCCAAGAUGGGCCU